rnacentral:misc_RNA from 1 species
GAUGAAGAACGCAGCGAAAUGCGAUAAGUAAUGUGAAUUGCAGAAUUCAGUGAAUCAUCGAAUCUUUGAACGCACAUUGCGCCCGCCAGUAUUCUGGCGGGCAUGCCUGUUCGAGCGUCAUUACAACCCUCAGGCCCCCGGGCCUGGCGUUGGGGAUCGGCAGAAGCCCCCUGUGGGCACACGCCGUCCCUCAAAUACAGUGGCGGUCCCGCCGCAGCUUCCAUUGCGUAGUAGCUAACACCUCGCAACUGGAGAGCGGCGCGGCCAUGCCGUAAAACACCCAACUUCUGAAUGUUGACCUCGAAUCAGGUAGGAAUACCCGCUGAACUUAAGCAUAUCCAAUAAGCGGAGGA